GAAAUGCGAUAAGUAAUGUGAAUUGCAGAAUUCAGUGAAUCAUCGAAUCUUUGAACGCACCUUGCGCUCCUUGGUAUUCCUUGGAGCAUGCCUGUUUGAGUAUCAUGAAAUCUUCAAAGUAAAUCUUUUGUUAACUCUAUUGGUUUCUACUUUGGUAUUGGAGGUCUUUGCAGCUUCACACCUGCUCCUCUUUGUUCAUUAGCUGGAUCUCAGUGUUAUGCUUGGUUCCACUCGGCGUGAUAAGUUAUCUAUCGCUGAGGACACUGUAAAAGGUGGCCAAGGUAAAUGCAGAUGAACCGCUUCUAAUAGUCCAUUGACUUGGACAAUACUUUUAUGAUCUGAUCUCAAAUCAGGUAGGACUACCCGCUGAACUUAAGC
rnacentral:misc_RNA from 1 species